rnacentral:rRNA from 1 species
AACGAACGCUGGCGGCAGGCCUAACACAUGCAAGUCGAGCGAACCCUUCGGGGUUAGCGGCGGACGGGUUAGUAACGCGUGGGAAUAUACCCUUUGGUACGGAAUAGCCUCGGGAAACUGAGAGUAAUACCGUAUGUGCCCUUCGGGGGAAAGAUUUAUCGCCAAAGGAUUAGCCCGCGUUGGAUUAGAUAGUUGGUGGGGUAAUGGCCUACCAAGUCUACGAUCCAUAGCUGGUUUGAGAGGAUGAUCAGCAACACUGGGACUGAGACACGGCCCAGACUCCUACGGGAGGCAGCAGUGGGGAAUCUUAGACAAUGGGCGCAAGCCUGAUCUAGCCAUGCCGCGUGGACGAUGAAGGCCUUAGGGUUGUAAAGUCCUUUCAGCUGGGAAGAUAAUGACGGUACCAGCAGAAGAAGCCCCGGCUAACUCCGUGCCAGCAGCCGCGGUAAAGUCUGUACU